CCUCGAUCUAUAUCCCUUUGUCGUUUCAUUUCCUUCAUUCUUCCAUCCUUCUUGGUGCUCCUUUAUAACUUCUGCCGAACAGAUCGUGUAUUCCCGGCGACGAUUCUAGAACCUUCAUGAAUCUUACCUCAGCGACGGCGCUCUCCCUCUUUAUGGCCUUACGAAGCCCACAAAAGCACAAUCCCCCUCACCAUGCCUGAACUCCGAAGCGGAAGAAACCGGGCAACGUUCCAUGACCCAAACCCAAACCCAAACCCGAACCCGAACACAAAAACCCGCCAGAGAAGAACGAGAAGAACCACUGUCAACACCGGGAGGUACAAUCGCAACACGCUCGCGCGCUGUAGAAUCGGUAACCGUGAAUUAGAAGAGAAGGAGCAACAACAACAGCAACACGCGCCUCUGCUUAGGGUUUCGGAAGAAGAUAAAGAGAAAGAGAUGGAUGACGAGUUCGACAGCGGCGGUGGCCGGAGCCCCGACAAGGCUGCGCCCGCAGAAGACGAAGGAAGCACUGCCCCCAUUCCCGAGAGGGUACAGGUAGGUGGUUCUCCGUUGUACAAAUUAGACAGAAAACUUGGGAAGGGAGGGUUUGGACAGGUUUACGUAGGUCGGCGAGUUGGGGCUGGUGCCGGAGCGUUAGAGGUAGCAUUGAAGUUUGAACAUAGAAGCAGUAAGGGGUGCAAUUAUGGACCUCCAUAUGAGUGGCAAGUUUACAAUGCAUUGGGUGGUAGUCAUGGUGUUCCACGUGUUCAUUACAAGGGACGGCAGGGUGAUUACUAUAUUAUGGUCAUGGAUAUGCUUGGCCCUAGUCUGUGGGAUGUCUGGAAUAACAACUCAAACACAAUGUCUGCGGAAAUGGUGGCAUGUAUAGCAAUUGAAGCCAUCUCCAUAUUAGAGAAGAUGCAUUCUAAAGGGUAUGUGCACGGUGAUGUAAAGCCUGAGAAUUUUUUGCUUGGCACUCCUGGAACUGCUGAUGAGAAAAAGCUUUUCUUAGUUGAUCUUGGAUUAGCAACCCGUUGGCGCGAUAGUUCAACUGGCCUUCAUGUUGAGUAUGAUCAACGUCCCGAUGUAUUUAGAGGAACAGUUCGUUAUGCUAGUGUGCAUGCUCAUCUUGGUAGAACAGGAAGCAGGAGAGAUGAUUUGGAAUCUCUUGCUUACACAUUGAUUUUCCUUCUUCGUGGCCGGCUACCUUGGCAAGGAUACCAGGGAGAAAAUAAAGGAUUUCUUGUGUGCAAGAAAAAGAUGGCAACCUCACCAGAAACUUUGUGUAGUGUCUGUCCUCCACCUUUCCGGCAGUUUGUGGAGUACGUGGUGAAUUUGAAAUUUGAUGAAGAACCAAAUUAUGCAAAGUAUAUAUCACUUUUUGAUGGAAUUGUUGGACCAAAUCCUGACUUCAGACCCAUAAAUACCGAAGGUGCACAAAAGCUUAUAUAUCUGGUUGGACAUAAGAGAGGACGAUUAACUGUGGAAGAAGAUGACGACGAACAACCAAAGAAGAGAGUCAGAAUGGGAAUGCCAGCAAUGCAAUGGAUUAGUGUGUACAAUGCCCGCCGACCAAUGAAGCAAAGGUACCAUUACAAUGUUGCUGAUGUGCGGCUGUCCCAACACAUUGAAAAGGGAUAUGAGGAUGGGUUAUUUAUCAGCAGCGUAGCUUGUUGUUCUAACCUCUGGGCACUUAUUAUGGAUGCUGGCACUGGUUUCAACUCUCAAGUUCAUGAACUCUCACCCCACUUUCUUCAUAAGGAAUGGAUUAUGGAACAGUGGGAAAAUAAUUAUUACAUUAGUGCAAUAGCAGGAUCUAAUAAUGGGAGCUCAUUGGUUGUAAUGUCUAAAGGGACCCAAUACAUGCAGCAAUCCUAUAAAGUCAGCGAGUCAUUUCCAUUUAAGUGGAUCAAUAAAAAAUGGAGAGAAGGAUUUUCUGUCACUGCUAUGGCGACUGCUGGGAGUAGAUGGGCAAUUGUAAUGUCCCGUGGUGCUGGAUAUUCAGACCAGGUUGUGGAACUUGAUUUCCUGUAUCCUAGUGAAGGCAUUCAUCGCAGGUGGGACAAUGGUUACCGCAUCACUUCAACUGCUGCCACAUGGGACCAAGCUGCUUUUGUUCUUAGUGUCCCAAGAAGAAAACCGGCUGAUGAAACUCAAGAGACACUCCGCACAUCCGCCUUUCCUAGUAGUCACGUCAAGGAAAAAUGGUCAAAAAAUCUCUAUAUUGCAUCAAUAUGCUAUGGGAGAACAGUUUCAUGAACUGAGAAGUUUUAAGAUUUCAGCUGACUAUUGACUUUUUGCAUCAAAGUUUCUGUUCUUAGAUGGGCCAUUUUGGAAUCUGGAAUCAUAUCUGAUGAGUUCGCUGAACAAAGCCAUUCAGUAUUGAUGUAUGCUAAACCUUUCUUUAUGGACGCCAUCACUUAUCAUAUGAUACAAUACCUGUGCACUGUAUAUCAACUGUAUCAAAAUGCUUCUGAGCAACUUUAGAUUCUGUUCAUUGGGAUGAGUCUUCUGAUAAAAGGAUUGUAGAGAUUUGAACAGUAAUUACUAUGUUGAAGGCGUUGUGUGCAGUUGGCUAUCGGGGCAGCUCAGUUGUUGUGAUACAGUUAAAAAGAUUGUUGUGACCAUUAUUGACUUUUAUAUCGCCUGACACUUUUGGAGCAUCUGGAGCAGAUAUGCCUUUAUAUCGACGGAAUGUUUGAUUUGGCCUGAUGGCACGAGACUUCAGUUCCUGGCAUUGUGGUGGUAAUUGUUUUCUUGCAGUUGUAUGCCUCGUUACUUAUUUGUAUUAUUUGUUCAUUCUCCGACUAUGAUUCUGGAGAGCCCCACACCCUUAAGCAGCGGUGAAGCAUUUCAAGGUACUGGAGCAUUUGGAACUAUUUACCGCACUACAAGGCUAAAUGUUGUUUCUGGAAGGCAACUCUGAAGCAAUGCAGCUUUGUGAGCUUUUGGUGGUGCAGAAAGGAUCAAAUGAAUUUACUUGUAGAUGAACGGCAUCACUGAUGAAUAAAUUAAUUUCUUUGCCAGUGUUCAUCCAUAUUCUUCCUUGAUUAAUCAAAUUAAUUUCUUAAAGGCAGGUAAUCACCUUUAAUCUUCGUACAUGGUAAUAGGUUAAAUGUCACUGCAAAAAUAUAUUGAAUUGGUUAUUUUUGGCGUUGUUUGUGA